CUCAGGAUGAACGCUGGCGGCGUGCUUAAGACAUGCAAGUCGAACGAAGACUCUUUGUAGCAGUACGGAGGGUCUUAGUGGCGAAUGGGUGCGUAACACGUAGGUGACCUACCCUGAAGCGAGGAAUAACAGUUCGAAAGGACUGCUAAUACCUCACGUGGUCCUGGAGGUUACAGUCUUCAGGUCUAAAGGCGAAAGCCACUUCAGGCGGGGCCUGCGUCCCAUCAGUUAGUUGGUAGGGUAAUGGCCUACCAAGACUACGACGGGUAGGGGACCUGAGAGGGUGGCCCCCCACACUGGCACUGACACACGGGCCAGACUCCUACGGGAGGCAGCAGUCGGGAAUAUUGCACAAUGGGCGAAAGCCUGAUGCAGCAACGCCGCGUGCGCGAUGAAGGCCUUCGGGUCGUAAAGCGCUUUUCGGGAGGAUGAGGAAGGACAGUACUCCCGGAAUAAGUCACGGCUAACUACGUGCCAGCAGCCGCGGUAAAACGUAGGUGGCGAGCGUUAUCCGGAUUUACUGGGCGUAAAGCGCGUUCAGGCGGUUUGACAAGUCGGGCAUGAAAUCUCCUGGCUUAACCAGGAGGAGCUGUCCGAUACUGUCAGACUUGAGGGCAGUAGAGGGUGGUGGAAUUCCGGGUGUAGUGGUGAAAUGCGUAGAUAUCCGGAGGAACACCUGUGGCGAAAGCGGCCACCUGGACUGCUCCUGACGCUGAAACGCGAAAGCUAGGGGAGCGAACGGGAUUAGAAACCCCGGUAGUCCUAGCUAUAAACGAUGUUGACUAGGUGUCGGAGGCUUAAACCCCUUCGGUGCCGGAGCAAACGCGU
rnacentral:rRNA from 1 species